GAUGAACGCUGGCGGCGUGCCUAAUACAUGCAAGUCGAGCGAACGGACGAGAAGCUUGCUUCUCUGAUGUUAGCGGCGGACGGGUGAGUAACACGUGGAUAACCUACCUAUAAGACUGGGAUAACUUCGGGAAACCGGAGCUAAUACCGGAUAAUAUUUUGAACCGCAUGGUUCAAAAGUGAAAGACGGUCUUGCUGUCACUAAUAGAUGGAUCCGCGCUGCAUUAGCUAGUUGGUAAGGUAACGGCUUACCAAGGCAACGAUGCAUAGCCGACCUGAGAGGGUGAUCGGCCACCCUGGAACUGAGCCACGGUCCAGACUCCUACGGGAGGCAGCAGUAGGGAAUCUUCCGCAAUGGGCGAAAGCCUGACGGAGCAACGCCGCGUGAGUGAUGAAGGUCUUCGGAUCGUUAACCUCUGUUAUUAGGGAAGAACAUAUGUGUAAGUAACUGUGCACAUCUUGACGGUACCUAAUCAGAAAGCCACGGCUAACUACGUG
rnacentral:rRNA from 1 species